rnacentral:rRNA from 1 species
GACGAACGCUGGCGGCGUGCUUAACACAUGCAAGUCGAACGGAAAGGCCCUGCUUGCAGGGUACUCGAGUGGCGAACGGGUGAGUAACACGUGGGUGAUCUGCCCUGCACUUCGGGAUAAGCCUGGGAGACUGGGUCUAAUACCGGAUAGGAGCCAUUUUUAGUGUGAUGGUUGGAAAGUUUUUUCGGUGUAGGAUGAGCUCGCGGCCUAUCAGCUUGUUGGUGGGGUAAUGGCCUACCAAGGCGGCGACGGGUAGCCGGCCUGAGAGGGUGGACGGCCACAUUGGGACUGAGAUACGGCCCAGACUCCUACGGGAGGCAGCAGUGGGGAAUAUUGCACAAUGGGCGCAAGCCUGAUGCAGCGACGCCGCGUGGGGGAUGACGGCCUUCGGGUUGUAAACUCCUUUCGCUAGGGACGAAGCUUUUGUGACGGUACCUAGAGAAGAAGCACCGGCUAACUACGUG